GCUUGUGCCCCAGCUCUGCUCUUCUGAGAUGGGUUAUGUAUCAAGUUAUUGGAACCGCUGCAGUGCCUGUGGAAAAAAAAAAAAAGAAAAAGAGAUCACGUUCUUUGUCCUAACAGCCAGACACAGACUAUCAGUGAAGCCUGCACACGGCCCCUCAGACCAGGCUGCCACUGGGCACAUUGGUCAGACCUCCAGUAAAAAAAUGUAUGUUUUGAUUUGCCCGGUAAAUGCGUGUAUACAAAAGUCAUAUGUGUUAGAGUGUGUCUGUCUGCAGUGUGUGUGGUGAGGGUUGUCGUGACUUGCUUGUGCGUGUGCCAGUCAAUUGUAAGUGCACAACAGCCCUCCAUUUUAGAAAUAUAGGUUAAGUAUAUAGUGUGACACAGUUAUGUAAGCGAUGUCGGAAUGGGCAGGUAAUGCGAUCCUCGCCGGGUUUGUUUUGGCCAGAAAAAGACCUUGCGAUCCUCGCCGGGUUUGUUUUGGCCAGAUAAAGACCUUGCGAUCCUCCCCGGGUUUGUUUUGGCCAGAUAAAGACCUAGCCAAAUGUGUCUUUUCCACUUAUACUCCUCACUGCAGCCCCAGUGGGCUAAGAGAGUGCGGAGCGACUCCUCAGUCCGGAAAUUAGGCUCGUUCUAAUCACACUCCUUAUCAGUGUUCUGUAACCACCCGCCUGCCUCCCUCUUAACCCCCCCACCCCAGAUAACACUCAUUGUUGUAGUCAACGUUAUCCUGUCUAUGGCACGGCGGGGGCCAGAGGCAUAGACAGGUCUGUGUGUGGAGUGACUGCAGAGAUGGUAAUCGGUGGGUGACGCUGAAGCCAGAGUCUCGCUGGUGCAGUGGGGGGGUCUGUGCAGGGCCAGGCAAGGCUGAAUCGGGUGACCAGGCAAGUAGUUUAUCUCAGGACAGGAAAGGACAGGACAGGACAGUGUCCUUAUGUGCAUGCUCGCUCAUUUCAAAUCUUUCCUAUUAUAUGCUAUUCUUUCAGUUCAGGUCUUCAAUGGGAGGAAAUAGAAAGAUGUAUUUUCAAUGAUUCAUCAGAGCCUUAAAUCUUCUGUCAUAGACCCGCUCUAAUGAAUUUGAGUGAUGUUUAUCCACAUUCUUAAUCUUUAUAAACAUCUAGAUAGUCACUCUCCACAACAACUCAGCAGAAGUCAUAGUUCUACUUGUUUUCUGGUUUUAUCCACAAGGAAAUGACAUCUUCACUAUAGUGAUGGUUUGGGUUGAUUACCCUUGCUUGAUCUCUGUUAUUGUGCAAAUUCUUUAAAACAGCAGCAAGGGCUUCUAGUCUAAAGCCUCUGAACUAACUAUCUAAAUGGCAUGCAAAAACCUUGGGAAGACCAACCAACAACAGCCAAGAUGUCACUGAUAAAACUGGCUAGCCUGCUAACUGGUAUCUUCUGUAGUUGGCAGUGUCGUGCUGUGAACGCUUUUCCCAAUCUGGAUCACAGAGUUACGUAGUGCGUAGCCUGGAUGGCUAGUGGGGACAGCAGGUGUGUGUAUCUGUGCUUCACAUGACCUUUGAAGGUGGUGCCAAAACUAGUUGCCUAUAUACAAACAUACUUCCAAAGUAGCAAAUUACUGCAUAGUGUUGUUUUAAUGUCCCCACCUCCCAACAUUAAAAACAAACAUGCAUUUAGGCAAAUAGUUGCUUUCCUGGUGAGUUGGAUAAUAUACACAUAAUGAUAAUUGCAGAUAAGAAAAAUGUUCUGCUGUCUUUACUUUGAAAGGUCGGGAUGGUUAUUCAUGACUGGCCACUUUUGUGCUGGUGCUUCAUUUCCUCUCUAGCUAAAACUGCAACUCAGUGGAAUUAGAUUAUGGGAUGACAGCAAUUUGUAGCAAUUUAGCAGCAGAUUUGCCACUACUGCUUGUUUACAUAAGCACAUACAAGAGUGUUUUUGGAUUGAUGGUUAUCUGUCGUAUCAUGUGUCUUCAUUUACCUGUUGAAUGCCAGGUGCAGGAAACGGUGUCCAAUUGUGAAAGACUUGAGUUAGUCCUCAGGGCAGAAGUGGGGGUUCAAAAACAUGAAGACAACUUCUCAAGUCCCGUAUCUUUUGAAAUACUUGUAUAUGUCCUAGUUACACUUUGUCCAAUUUGUCCAAAGUGUUUCUGAAAGCCUCUGAAAAAAAUAUGUCCAUAAACUGUAAACCUUUGACCUAGAAGUACGACAUUAGAUGGUCCGACUUCGCUAUCGAGCUCAGCAGCUCUACAGACACAGAUCCUCGCCAGUGGUGUCCAGUGAGCGCCACACAAAGGUGUUCUUCACGUCAGUGGUCAGUGGUGUCCAGUGAGUAGCACACAAAGGUGUUCUUCACGUUCUCUCCCUCUGUGUCUGUCAUUGUGACCAGGCUUAAGUAAGGACGGCUAAAGGAAGCCUGCUUCGGAGUGUCUGUUCUUUGGCUUGAGUGAUUGAAGCCCAUGAGUCUAUAGUGCAGCCCUGCCAACAAGCACCGGCUUAUGUGUCAUUAAAUGGACUGUUGAGCAGUUGAUUCUGAAAGCGAGCCAGACUGUCAUUGUUUAGAGGCAGAGAGGUACUGUACGAGGGGUUUUCAGUGCUUUUCUGUAGACGUGCACUUGGUAUUAGAUGCCAAGGCUUUAGCGGGGAUAAGGCUAAGACAGUGUGCGUGUAAAAUAAAUAAAUUACAUUAAAUAAAAUCAGGUCAGGGAUUUGUCUCAGUUGGAACGAAUGAGACGCCCACCCACUGCAAUGAAUACGCUAUUGUUGAAUCUUUACAAAAGUGUCUCCUGGAAGAGGAGGUGAGAUGUUGUGCUUGGUGGGAGAAAAAGAGGUGUUGGGUUGAGAAAAAGGGGUAAAAAGACGAGAUCAGAUAACAGAGUGUUUUUCUUGCUGUUGUUGGCAAGUGUGACACUAUGGUAAAAAAGGAAACCAUGUAAACUGUUGGAAUAACUGGAGAAUAAUGUGUGAGAUACUAAGCGGGAGAAAGAAAAUAAACCGUUCAUAACUGCAAAAUAAAAGACAAAUCAAUCAGUGCUUUUUGUUGCAGCAGCAAAGCAUGCUGGGAAAACAAAUGGAUGCGCCAUUGCUAUAGACUAGAGGAUGUCUGGAUCCUGCCAGAACCCUUCUAAGGUUGUGUGGGAGACAGGAGGCAUCUGCCCAGACCAGCCCUUUUCCGUGGGUGAGGCGGAGGUGCCAGGAUUGCUGAAUGGGCGGCCAUCUGGGUGAGCUCACGUUCUGGCUACGGCUGAAUCCCCUCCGGCCAGCUCUGUGGGCUUCCUCCGCGGCCAAGGUCAGGGGUUCAGGCCAAGGUCAGGGGGUCAGGGGUUCAGGUCACAGCCAUGGCACUGCCACUGGAGGGGGCGGUCUCUGCUUAUAGAAGGGAAGGAGGGCAGUUUUACGCAAAGACGGAAGAAGACAGAGUUCAUUCAUCAUGCUAUUAAACUUC
ensembl:lncRNA